UACGGAGGGUGCGAGCGUUGUCCGGAUUUACUGGGCGUAAAGGGCGCGUAGGCGGCUUGACAAGUCACUUGUGAAAUCUCCGGGCUUAACUCGGAACGGCCAAGUGAAACUGUCAUGCUAGAGUGCAGAAGGGGCAAUCGGAAUUCUUGGUGUAGCGGUGAAAUGCGUAGAUAUCAAGAGGAACACCUGAGGUGAAGACGGGUUGCUGGGCUGACACUGACGCUGAGGCGCGAAAGCCAGGGGAGCAAACGGG
rnacentral:rRNA from 1 species